rnacentral:rRNA from 1 species
AUGGCUAUGGCGCUGCGCACCAUGGCCGCCAAGCUGAAGCAGAAGAUCCCCGCCGCUGUCCAGCGGGUUCGCGUCUCUUCUCGUGCUCCGGCACCUGCUGAUGCUGACUUCGACCGCUUCGGCUUCGGCCCAGAGUUUCGCCGGGCACUGGACAAGAUUGUAGAGAAACACAGGAAGAGGCGCAGGGACGAGGCCUUAGCCUGUGGUGCUGGCUUCAGUCUUGGAGCACUCACCUUUUUGCUUGGGGUCCAUAGGCUCGGUUGA